rnacentral:rRNA from 1 species
CCUACGGGUGGCUGCAGUCGAGAAUUUUUCUCAAUGGGGGAAACCCUGAAGGAGCGACGCCGCGUGGAGGAUGAAGGUCUUCGGAUUGUAAACUCCUGUCAUUUGGGAACAAAACCCUCACUUAACUGGUGAGGGCUUGAUAGUACUAGAAGAGGAAGAGACGGCUAACUCUGUGCCAGCAGCCGCGGUAAUACAGAGGUCUCAACCGUUGUUCGGAUUCAUUGGGCGUAAAGGGUGCGUAGGCGGUCGGGUAAGUCGGAUGUGAAAUCUCAGGG